rnacentral:rRNA from 1 species
UACAGGGGGGGCGAGCGUUGUUCGGAAUUACUGGGCGUAAAGGGCGCGUAGGCGGCCCGCUAAGUCGAACGUGAAAUCCCCGAGCUCAACUCGGGAACUGCGUCCGAUACUGGCGGGCUUGAAUCCGGGAGAGGGAUGCGGAAUUCCAGGUGUAGCGGUGAAAUGCGUAGAUAUCUGGAGGAACACCGGUGGCGAAGGCGGCAUCCUGGACCAAUACUGACGCUGAGGAGCGAAAGCCAGGGGAGCAAACGGG